AAAUUUUAUUUUUAUCAUAUUUUUAAAGGAACGUCUUGAGAUGUUUCUGAUGGAUAUUGGGCUGAUGGACUUCAUUUGUUCUUAUCAACAAAUCCUACUAUAAGAUAUUCAUAGACAAGAAGAGUGUGGAAAAUGGGAAAAAGAUAAGUAUCCAAAAAAUGAAGGUAAGUCACAAAAUUUUGAGGACAGACAGCAACAGUGAAGAUGAUUCAAAUGGAAACCAUAAAUAAUUUUAACCUUCAUCCAAAGGUGAGAGCAUAAAUAACAUGCAGACAAAAAAUAUACACAUGCAGGAAUGUAAUUUCCCAGGUCAGAUCAGAAAAUGUUAUAAAAACAUAUUUUAAAGGAGCAUCUUGAGAUGUUUCUGAUGGAUAUUAGGCUGAUGGACUUCAUAUCCAUUUGAUGUUCCUAUCAACAAAUCAUACUAUAAGAUAUUCAUAGGUAGAUAUUUUACCUUUUUUAACAAGCACUUUGAACCAAACAAAUAACACCUCUUUCCGGUAGAUAAGAAGAUUGUGGAAAAUGGGAAAAAGAUAAGUAUCAAAAAAAAAAAAAAAGCAAGUCAAAAAAUAUUGAGGACAGCAACAGUGAAGACACAGGGAGUGCAGAUGAUUCAAAUGGAAACCAUACAUUAUUUUAACCAUCCAAAUGUGAGAGCAUAAAUAAUAUACACAUGCACACAUGAUGUAAUUUCCCAUGGCAGAUCAUAAAAUGCUUCCUUAAAGGAGCAUCUAGGGUUUUUUAAUAGAAACUGAUGGACUUCAGAGUUGCUUCUGUAUCAACAAAUCCUAGAUGGCAUUCAGAGAAAAUGGAAACGUGGUGAGUGGAAAAGUUAUAAACAUGGACAGACAGCAGUGAGGACACUGAGAGUGCAGAUGAUUGGAAUGGAGAAUCAUUUUAAACUCUGAUCCAAAGCUGAAGAAGCAACAUGUUGUAGAAACAUGUCUUGUUGUCGACAUGUCGAGAAGAUGCUGUUUUCUGCGCUGUGAAUCCACUUUGCAUGCAUUUCCAAAGGAGGAGGAUUUGCGCUGGAAUUUAUAUGCAAUUGGCAGCAAGUCACACAAACUUUUGAACCCAGAACUUUCCUUGAAUGGAAAUCCUAUAAUCCCCAAAACUCCUAUGCAAGUUCUUCUUGCGUCUCUCAUUCACCUAGUCUUUUCUCAGUACAUAAGCUUUUAGUUGUCUCAGAGCCUGCAUUGCAGAAAACCACGUCUACCUUUCUCCACAACACUCAUGCAUCCUAUGAGCAUGAAGUUGAGCUAUUCUUGGCAGUCGUCCAUCAACCGUGAAGGAGAGUUGUGGUGCUUAGGAACAGCAAAGAAAACACAGCUGAAAGAACAAACUCUACACUAAAGGAAACUCCACAUGAAUCAAUGAAAAAAAUAACUAAAAGAACUCUAAAUUAGCAGUUUUGACCCCUUGGAGUAACUUUCCACUGUUAUUAUGUUGGCAGUUUGACCCUUGCCUUGUCAUGUGAGACUAUAUCCCGAUUGACAUGGGUGUCUCCUGUCUACACCACAGUGAUGUUCAAUGGGCAGAUUUGUUCAAACAGUGAGCUGUUGUUUUCUAAUGGCUGAGCGGGACGUCCACUUCAAAAGGGGUUUUGUAACCACAGAGAAAUGGGUCAGCUGUGGAGGUGGUACCGCUGACGAACAGCGGCUGUUUUUGUGCUAACACCCACGCCAGUAUCCCCGAGGACCAGAGUCAAACUGGCCCAACUGAAUCAACAAAGUCGUGUUGCUGCCACACUUCAUGCAGGUGCUCAUGGAUUGAACUCAAGUAAAGAGCCUUAAAGUUGACAUAAAAU